AGGUUACCAAGGAACCAUGCAUAGCACUGAAUAGGGAACCGCCGAAUACACCAGCUACACCUAACAUGUGGAAUGGAUGCAUAAGGAUGUUGUGCUCUGCCUGGAAUACAAUCAUAAAGUUGAAAGUACCAGAGAUUCCUAAAGGCAUACCAUCAGAAAAGCUUCCUUGACCAAUAGGGUAAAUCAAGAAAACAGCAGUAGCAGCUGCAACAGGAGCUGAAUAUGCAACAGCAAUCCAAGGACGCAUACCCAGACGGAAACUAAGUUCCCACUCACGACCCAUAUAACAAGCUACACCAAGUAAGAAGUGUAGAACAAUUAGCUCAUAAGGACCACCAUUGUAUAACCACUCAUCAACAGAUGCGGCUUCCCAAAUUGGGUAAAAGUGCAAUCCGAUCGCCGCAGAAGUAGGGAUAAUAGCACCAGAGAUAAUAUUGUUUCCAUAAAGUAAAGAACCAGAAACAGGCUCACGAAUACCAUCAAUAUCUACUGGAGGGGCAGCGAUGAAGGCGAUAAUAAAUACAGAAGUUGCGGUCAAUAAGGUAGGGAUCAUCAAAACACCGAACCAUCCGAUGUAAAGACGAUUUUCAGUGCUAGUUAUCCAGUUGCAGAAGCGACCCCACAGGCUUGUACUUUCGCGUCUCUCUAAAAUUGCAGUCAUGGUAAGAUCUUGGUUUAUUCAAAUUGCAAGGACUCCCAAGCACACGUAUUAACUAGAAUAUAGAUAAUAGAAGGCUUGUUAUUUAACAGUAU
rnacentral:rRNA from 1 species